GGGCCCGCACAAGCGGAGGAACAUGUGGUUUAAUUCGAUGAUACGCGAGGAACCUUACCCGGGCUUGAAUUGCAUUUGAAUGUCGUGGAAACAUGGCAGCCAGCAAUGGCAAAUGUGAAGGUGCUGCAUGGUUGUCGUCAGCUCGUGCCGUGAGGUGUCGGCUUAAGUGCCAUAACGAGCGCAACCCUCAUCGAUAGUUACUAACAGGUUAAGCUGAGGACUCUAUCGAGACUGCCGGCGUAAGCUGUGAGGAAGGUGGGGAUGACGUCAAAUCAGCACGGCCCUUACGUCCGGGGCGACACACGUGUUACAAUGGGGGGGACAGAAGGCUGCCACUGGGUGACCAGGCGCUAAUCCCAAAACCCCCUCUCAGUUCGGAUCGAAGUCUGCAACCCGACUUCGUGAAGCUGGAUUCGCUAGUAAUCGCGCAUCAGCCAUGGCGCGGUGAAUACGUUCCCGGGCCUU
rnacentral:rRNA from 1 species